AGUGAACGCUGGCGGCAGGCCUAACACAUGCAAGUCGAACGGCAGCACAGUAAGCGCUUGCUCUUACGGGUGGCGAGUGGCGGACGGGUGAGGAAUACAUCGGAAUCUACUUUUUCGUGGGGGAUAACGUAGGGAAACUGACGCUACUACCGCAUACGACCUACGGGAGAAAGCAGGGGAUCUUCGGACCUUGCGCGACUGAAUGAGCCGAUGUCGGAUUAGCUAGUUGGCGGGGUAAAGGCCCACCAAGGCGACGAUGCGUAGCUGAUCUGAGAGGAUGAUCAGCCACACUGGAACUGAGACACGGUCCAGACUCCUACGGGAGGCAGCAGUGGGGAAUAUUGCACAAUGGGCGCAAGCCUGAUCCAGCCAUGCCGCGUGAGUGAAGAAGGCCUUCGGGUUGUAAAGCCCUUUUGUUGGGAAAGAAAAGCAGCAGGUUAAUACCCCGCUGUUCUGACGGUACCCAAAGAAUAAGCACCGGCUAACUUCGUG
rnacentral:rRNA from 1 species